rnacentral:rRNA from 1 species
GAUGAACGCUGGCGGCGCGCCUAAUACAUGCAAGUCGCACGCGACGCCGGGGUGCUUGCACCCCGGUGGUCGAGUGGCGGACGGGUGAGUAACACGUAGGCAACCUGCCCCGCAGACCGGGAUAACCACGGGAAACCGUGGCUAAUACCGGAUAACCCCCGGUGCCAUAAGGCGCCGGGUUGAAAGACGGUUUCGGCUGUCACUGCGGGAUGGGCCUGCGGCGCAUUAGCUGGUUGGCGGGGUCACGGCCCACCAAGGCGACGAUGCGUAGCCGGCCUGCGAGGGUGAUCGGCCACACUGGGACGGAGACACGGCCCAGACUCCUACGGGAGGCAGCAGUAGGGAAUCUUCCGCAAUGGACGCAAGUCUGACGGAGCAACGCCGCGUGGAGGAUGAAGGUCUUCGGAUUGUAAACUCCUGUUGCCCGGGACGAAAUGCUCCGACCUAACACGUCGGAGCUUGACGGUACCGGGUGAGGAAGCCCCGGCUAACUCUGUGCCAGCCGCCGCUGUAACAC